GAUGAAGAACGUAGCGAAAUGCGAUAAGUAGUGUGAAUUGCAGAAUUCAGUGAAUCAUCGAAUCUUUGAACGCACAUUGCGCCCUUUGGUAUUCCAAAGGGCAUGCCUGUUCGAGCGUCAUUUGUACCCUCAAGCUUUGCUUGGUGUUGGGCGUCUUGUCUCUAGCUUUGCUGGAGACUCGCCUUAAAGUAAUUGGCAGCCGGCCUACUGGUUUCGGAGCGCAGCACAAGUCGCACUCUCUAUCAGCGAAGGUCUAGCAUCCAUUAAGCCUUUUUUUCAACUUUUGACCUCGGAUCAGGUAGGGAUACCCGCUGAACUUAAGCAUAUCAUAAGCGGAGGA
rnacentral:misc_RNA from 1 species